GCGAUCAUACCAGCACUAAUGCACCGGAUCCCAUCAGAACUCCGAAGUUAAGCGUGCUUGGGCGAGAGUAGUACUAAGAUGGGUGACCUCUUGGGAAGUCCUCGUGUUGCACCCC
rnacentral:rRNA from 1 species